rnacentral:tRNA from 1 species
GCGGGUAUAGCUCUGUGGUGGAAUGCAUGCCUAGCAUGCGUGAGGUCCUAGGUUCAAUUCCCAGUACCUCCA